AAACCAGCACCUCAAGUGGUCAGGAUGAUUAUUGGGCCUAAAGCAUCCGUAGCCUGCUUUGUCAGUUUUCGGUUAAAUCCAUACGCUCAACGUAUGGGCUGCCGGAAAUACUGCAAAGCUAGGGAGUGGGAGAGGUAGACGGUACUCGGGAGGAAGGGGUAAAAUCCUUUGAUCUCUCGAUGACCACCUGUGGCGAAGGCGGUCUACCAGAACACGUCCGACGGUGAGGGAUGAAAGCUGGGGGAGCAAACCGGAUUAGAUACCCCAGUAGUCC
rnacentral:rRNA from 1 species